rnacentral:lncRNA from 1 species
GUGCCUUAGACAAAGGACGCACGGGAGUCCCACCACACCUAGAGCCACGCUUUGAAGGAUCUGCCAAGCUCACUUUUAAUCAUGAGAAAGAAAUUACCCACAUGGAGUCAGCAGAAAAUGAGAAAGUAGAGCUCGUGCUGCGAAUAAUUCCAGCAAGUGCCAAGGGGCUAGUUGAGGAAUGGCUUCAUGAAG